rnacentral:misc_RNA from 1 species
GUCAAAUCUGCAUUGCUUGUAACCAGUGUUAUCCAUGAAAAGAUCCUUCAAUCAGUGGCCCUGCAAAUCAGGACUUGGGCCAAUGUUCCUAGGGGCAGUGGCUUGGGAACUUCUAGCAUCUUAGCAGCAGCCGUUGUUAAAGGGCUUUUACGUAUUACUGAUGGAGACGAAAGUAACGAAAAUGUCACUAGACUUGUUUUAGUCCUAGA